ACAGUGACUGCGCUAACCCAUGAAGUCCUAGUGAGCACGAUGCCUAUAUCUUUUACUGACUCUCAACAAACUUUUGAAUGGCAGAUUUCGUCAGCGUACCAAGUGGGGCGUGACGGAGGAGCUGUGAGACGUUAUCAGCCUAUGGAAUUGAAAAGGAAAAGGAAAAUGUUGUCGACGCAAGGUACGGCGCCUGAGGACAUAAACACACGUUUUUGCAUGAAGGAAAGCAGCGGGAUUUCAAGCAGACGACAGUUGCCGCCAUUUUGUUUUGCCUCGUGCUCGAUCGUCUGCUUUCAACUUCAAUGGCGGCCGAUUGUUGCCGGGUUCAUAUUGUUGUAUUGAACAACUCUAAACAGGGCUAGAGAUACGGACUACUGGACCCGACUCUGAUGUGUCUCUACCCCCAGGCGAACCACGUGUGUGUCUGACAGUCAUCGAGGCAUGACGAUAUCCGGGUUGUUGGUGGCGCUUGGUCGAUGGAACAUGUAUUAGACCCACGCCCCUUUGCUGCAGGGGGUCGGAUCCAAUUCGGGUACAUUUAUCAUGGAGGAGUAUAUGUCAUUCAAGCAACAAUGGACGCGUGGAGAGGAACAAAUAGUUGGAUGUACCUGUAUAUG